UUUCUAUAGGGGGCGUCGUCGCACGUCAAGUAAGACCAAGUCGAGGGACUUUCAACUAAGGAAUUAUGCUCUGAGGUUGAACGUGAUUGAGGCGACGAAGGUGUUGGGAAGAGGCUGUUAAUAAGUAGUUAGGUAGCCCAAAGUAGUAUGUCUUCAUACAUACUAUUUUGUCUUGGAACCUUCCGCUGCAUUUAAAUGUUGUUCUUGGAAAACUAUGAAUUUGGUUUCGAUACUCUGAUUAUGACUUGACUUUGUACUCAUUCGCCUUGGAGACUAUUCCCUCGAGUUAAUUAUUUCUUUUA